CAGCCGCUACAGUCUACGUUUUGUGGUGGAUUUGGUCAUUUGGGAAUAUUGAUUACGAUAAGCGAUUAAUAUUUCUGCUAAUAAUUACUGUAUGAAACAGUAGUGAAGUGCUGUUUUAUUAAUCCACAGCUUUCAUUAAGAUCCGUCACUGCCGUAAUGGAGGUUUCGGAAGAAUCACAGCAUCCCGCGAAAAGGUUGAAAAAGCAUGAUUUGCCUGCUUCCUCGGAUGAACAUCACAAACAUUUAGCUGCCACAGACUACCAAACACCAGAGGACGAGUCUGCUUCGUUCGUCAGUGCACCCGUUGAAGACGUGGACAUUCUUUCGAAGGGGCAUUUCAGUGAAACGAGAAGGCAAUAUGAAGAUUUCCAGCCGACGACAACAACAUUUCCUCCCGGGUUUCGCCGCGUCGUACGUCCCUGUGAUCUGAGCGCGUUGGAUUUAAAUAUGGCGAAUGCAUUUCGGAAACCAGCAAAUGGAUCGAAUAAUUAUUCCUAUUUCAACAAGUACAUAGACCUUACCACAAGCAGAAAUACAAUGCUGCGGAAAGCUGGUGCUGCUGUUUGUGCCGCUUAUGAAAUUGCCUAUGGAGAUCAGAUUGCGUUAUUUUCCGCGUUCAUGGCAUCGGCGCUGGAAAAGGGACAGAUACCCGUAGGACUAUGGGCUGUUCCCUUUGUGUAUAAUAAUAUUAUUAAUUUUUUUUUGUCAAGUAAUAAUAAUAGUUUCCCGGACUGCUGCAAUAAUUUGCGAUUCUGUUACAGUAUCAACCGCAGGCAUCACCGCAAUAUGUGCUUCAGCGGGUUCAGGAAAAAAAUGAGGAAAACAAAACUCGCCUGGCACAAUUUGCUUACAUGCUGCCGGGCUUUGAAAACAUUAUCGAAGAAGACCGAAAAAUUCUGUUUUUGGAGAAGCACCUGAUGGCUAUUAUGCUGCACCACAUGAAGUACUGCCAUCAAGGAGAGUUUUAUUUUGCUUUCCCAGGACCCGAGGAUGUUCAUUUCAACAAUUACUGGAUAGACAUUUUGGGUGUUGAUCCCGAUUUCACGAAGUUUCUUUAUAAAUGCACUGCUGUUUUCAAUAGUAUUGGACUCACACUUACCGAAACAUAUUUAUUGUUGGCCGCAGCAUUUUUUGAUCCAGGCAAUACUAGCGCUUCGGAUAAAACCUUGUUGGGACAACUUAAUGCUUUUUAUCUGGAAGCCUUACUCUACAUGAUCGGCUAUCGACUGGAUGAUGCGGAACGCCCUGUUGUGUACAGAAAGCUGGAGGAAGCGAUGAAAAUAUUUCCAACUGUUUCCCAGGUUUCAGUUUACCGGUACAAAAACAUCGAUUACAGUAGUCUUCCCGCACUUUCGCGGACAUUUAUGCGAGAAUGUCUUCGACGUUGACUUGUCUGCAUUGCGCCCUUUUACUUAUUUGGAUCUGACAAACGUUGUGAUAUACGUACGCGAGUCUUAGAGCGAGUUGGUGUAUACAUUUGUUUUUGAGUUUUAGCGCAGUCUUCGAGAAUAAUGGUCAUGGGCCAUUGCGUUUAUGUUAUUUUUAAGUUUUAUUUGGUUCUUAAUUUUAUCUGAACACUAUGAAGAUAGUUGUACUUUAUGCAGUUCUGCAUUGUGAUGCAAAUGCAGUUGUGAUUUGUAAUGAUCAUUUAAUAAUUGUCCGAUCAAGUAACUCUGAUAAAUCGAUGUCAGUAAACUGGAAAUCACCGUUAAGCGUAAACUGUAAACCGCUUAAUAAUGUUGUAACAUUCUUGUAUGACCAUGGCACGAUACGAAUCAUACGAUUAUACUACCAGAGUGCACGUACUGCACCAGAGAUUCAUGAUCAGAGCCAAAUCGAUCGAGCACCGAGCAUUGGUUUUACAAAAAUAUACGACUGACUGCAGCUGCAUGAACGAUACAAUAAUACGUCACUGUGCAUGUGAGAUUGUAAGUACAGCAUAGUGCGCCAUGCAUGCACUUUCGUUUCCAUCUGGCCGAUCGUAACAAACCACUGCGAGAGAUACGAACCUGUACCGAAAUUUCAAAGCUUCGGAGGAAUUCGUUAGACUUUAGAGACUUCAUCGGUACCUUAUCGUGAUGGAUGAUUCGUCAGAACCGGUUGAAAAUGUAAAGAGAUCAAAGCGGAGUCAUCCUGGGAACAGAGAUGAUCCACCAUCGGCAGAAGAAGUGCAGUACGAAUCUGUAUCCUCCGUAUUCGAAACCCUAAACAAAUUGGAAGUGGAACAUCUGCUGCGUGGACGGUUUAAGCGGGAUUUCCUACCUACUGAGGCGACUUUUCCUUCUGGUUUCCGCAAAGUUGUGCAGCCUGCCGGUCAGUGUCAGCACCUUAUUCGGAUAAACAGAAAAUAUCCAUACUUAAGCAUAUCAGAUUAAAUUUUUUGAUACUAGUAACUCAGUAUAAAAUUUAUUACAGCAUGUUCAAGU